UACGGGGGGGGCAAGCGUUGUUCGGAAUUACUGGGCGUAAAGGGCUCGUAGGUGGCCAACUAAGUCAGACGUGAAAUCCCUCGGCUUAACCGGGGAACUGCGUCUGAUACUGGAUGGCUUGAGUUUGGGAGAGGGAUGCGGAAUUCCAGGUGUAGCGGUGAAAUGCGUAGAUAUCUGGAGGAAUACCGGUGGCGAAGGCGGCAUCCUGGACCGACAUUGACGCUGAGGAGCGAAAGCUAGGGGAGCAAACGGG
rnacentral:rRNA from 1 species